UACGUAGGUGGCGAGCGUUGUCCGGAAUUACUGGGUGUAAAGCGCGUGUAGGCGGGAGGCCAAGUCUGCGGUGAAAUCGCUCGGCUCAACUGGGCGGGGUCCGUGGAAACUGGUCACCUGGAGGACGGUAGAGGCGAGUGGAAUUCCCGGUGUAGUGGUGAAAUGCGUAGAGAUCGGGAGGAACACCAGUGGCGAAGGCGGCUCGCUGGGCCGGACCUGACGCUGAGACGCGAAGGCGUCGGGAGGCGAACGGG
rnacentral:rRNA from 1 species